GUACACAUGCAUGCUCAUGCGUUAUACACAUGUAGUAUUGUAAUGUCACUUCUUUAACCUGAACAGUGUGUGUGUGUGUGUGUGUUUUGGUGCUGUUGCAGUUAAUGAGGCUGUCAUGUCCCCAUUAGAGGAUAUUUUUACUAACAAGUUCAGCAAAGGCAAUGGCUGUGAGAUUAAGAACCUUGCUCUGCAGCCACGAGGUUUUAGGUUCAGUACCACUACACAGCACCUUGGGAAAGGUGCAAGGCCACAAAUCAAUAAAUGGAAGAAAAUGAAGCUGUGUGACAUUGAUGACUUCCUUAGACACCGAAGUGACAUAACAGAUACGAUGUGUCUGUAAAUGAAAGAACAGCAAAAGUUCUGUUGUCAUUUGUUUUCAAGCAGAAGGAGACUUGUGUUAGAGGAUAUUGAAAAUAAGACCUAAACUGUGAAAGACGGAAUUGAAUUAAUGCCUUUUCAAGGACGCCAGCAAAAGUAAAUAGAUGUCGAGUUUAUAGACUUGGUGAAAUCAAAUGUAAAUGUGUGUUGAGUAAACAUUUAUUGC